GCAUAAUAAUUAGUCUUUUAAUUGGUGACUGGAAUGAAUGAAUUUAUAAAAUUAAAGCUUUAUUUUUUAUAUCAGUAAAAUUUAAUAUUUAAGUGAAGAAGCUUAAAUUUUAUUAAAAGACAAGAAGACCCUAAUGAUUUUUAUUUUUAUACUAUAUAUAUAAAGUUUUAAAUUAUUUUAUAAAAUAUAUAAAAUUUUACUGGGGCGGUAAUAAAAUAAUAAUAAACUUUUAUAUAAAUAUGAUAUAUAUCUUUUUUAUGAUCCUAAAAAGAUUAAAAGUAAAAAAUACCAUAGGGAUAACAGGCUAAUUAAUUUAGAUAGCUUAUAUUGAAAAAUUAGA
rnacentral:rRNA from 1 species